GACGAACGCUGGCGGCGUGCUUAACACAUGCAAGUCGAACGAAGUGGCGAACGGGUGAGUAACGCGUAAUCAACCUGCCCUUCAGAGGGGGACAACAGUUGGAAACGACUGCUAAUACCGCAUACUGAAGGAGGGGAUUGCGUCUGAUUAGCUAGUUGGAGGGGUAACGGCCCACCAAGGCGAUGAUCAGUAGCCGGGCUGAGAGGAGGAACGGCCACCUUGGGACUGAGACACGGCCCAGACCCCUACGGGAGGCAGUAGUGGGGAAUCUUCCGCAAGGGACGAAAGUCUGACGGAGCAACGCCGCGUGAGUGAUGACGGCCUUCGGGUUGUAAAGCACUUUUGGCAGGAAAGCGGUACCUGCAGAAUAAGCACCGGCUAACUACGUGCCAGCAGCCGCGGUAAUAC
rnacentral:rRNA from 1 species